GACGAACGCUGGCGGCGGGCUUAACACAUGCAAGUCGAACGGCAAGGCCCUGCUUUUGUGGGGUGCUGGGGUGGCGAAGGCGUGCGGAACACGUGAGUAACCUGCCCUAGACUUUGGGAUAGCUUAAGGUAGCUGAGGCUAAUACAGGAUAGGAGCUCCCGCUCGAUUGAGGGGGGGGGAACGUUUCGGCGGGUGCGGAUGGACGCGCGGCUUAUCAGCUUGUUGGUGGGGGAGUGGCUGACCAAGGCUUUGACGGGUACCCGGCCUGAGAGGGUGACCGGCCACAUUGGGACUGCGAGACGGCCCAGACUGCUACGGGAGGCAGCAGGGGCGAAUAUUGCACAAUGGGCGGAAGCCUGAUGCAGCAGCGCCGCGUGCGGGAUGACGGCUUUCGGGUUGUAAACCGCUUCCGCCUGUGACGAAGCGUGAGUGACGGUACUGGGUAAAGAAGCACCGGCUAACUACGUG
rnacentral:rRNA from 1 species